rnacentral:lncRNA from 1 species
GGCGGCGGCCAGGCGGUGACGCGACCGCGCUGCCCGGGAGCCUGGGUCCUCCUACUGUCAAACCCCGGGCCACCCGGCAGAGCUGAUGCCUACAGCCCCUGCUCGCUGCUCACCUGGGACACCUCGCGAAGAGCAGACGACCUCUGCGACUCGCUAUGCACCAGCACCAGGGCAGAUACCAGUGCUAAUUCAGAUCCGGAGGAUAACGAAGCACGAGCAGUAGUUUAAAGGAGAUAGAAC